GUGAAUCAUCGAAUUUUUGAACGCAAAUUGCACUCUCCUCGGAGAGUAUGCCUGUUUGAGGGUCAGCCUAAAAAAAAAUCGACAUCGUUGCUGUUUCGCGGUUACGUUAGUUGGAGAUUGUGGCAUCUUAAACCUUUUUGUUUUUAAGCGACUUAAAAUUUUCUUUUGACCGCAUGUACGUUUCUAAGAUUUAUAUCUUUACACGGUUUGUGGUAU
rnacentral:misc_RNA from 1 species